CACCAAUUAAUCAUACCAGAAAAAAGAAAAAGUUAGUUAAUCUUUGCAUAGCUGCACACAGACUUCGUUCUCCACCUCUUGCGUAGCACAUUCGAUCUCCGUUCAGGUCUCCUCUUCUAUUUCUACUAUGAUCGAAUUGGGAAUUUUCAAUUUUUCUGCUAUGAUUGAAUUGGUAAUUUGAGAUUGGAGGGAUUGUGGC
rnacentral:lncRNA from 1 species